UACGGGGGGGCAAGCGUUGUUCGGAAUUACUGGGCGUAAAGGGUUCGUAGGUGGCUCGCUAAGUCAGACGUGAAAUCCCUCAGCUUAACUGGGGAACUGCGUCUGAGACUGGCAAGCUUGAGUGCAGGAGAGGAACGCGGAAUUCCAGGUGUAGCGGUGAAAUGCGUAGAUAUCUGGAGGAACACCGGUGGCGAAGGCGGCGUUCUGGACUGCAACUGACACUGAUGAACGAAAGCCAGGGGAGCAAACGGG
rnacentral:rRNA from 1 species